rnacentral:rRNA from 1 species
GUAAGGAAUAUUGGUCAAUGGGGGCAACCCUGAACCAGCCAUGCCGCGUGAAGGAUGAAGGCGUUAUGCGUUGUAAACUUCUUUUGUAUGGGAAGAAUGACAGGGAUUUAUCCUUGGAGAGACGGUACCAUACGAAUAAGCACCGGCUAACUCCGUGCCAGCAGCCGCGGUCAUACGUCAGGUGCAAGCGUUAUCCGGAAUCACUGGGUUUAAAGGGUACGUAGUCUGUUAAUUAAGUCAGUAGUGAAAGACUGUUGCUCUACGACGGAUGUGCUAUUGAUACUGGUUAACUUGAAGCAGGUUAGAGUUGGCGGAAUGGGUCAUGUAGCGGUGUAAGGCUUAGAUAUGACUUGGAACACCGAUAGCGAAGGCAGCUGACUGAGCAUUGAUUGACGCUGAGGUACGAAAGUGUGGGUAGCGAACAGGAUUAGAAACACUGGUAGUCC